GCCCGGUUAGCUCAAUCGGUAGAGCGUAAGACUCUUAGAUCACAGGAUUCAAUUCCGACAUCAAUGGCAUCUUAAGGCUGCGGGUUCGACCCCCGCAUCGGGCU